GAUGAACGCUAGCUACAGGCUUAACACAUGCAAGUCGAGGGGCAGCGGGGAUCUAGCUUGCUAGAUUUGCCGGCGACCGGCGCACGGGUGAGUAACACGUAUCCAACCUGGCCCAUACUCGGGUAUAGCCUCUCGAAAGGGAGAUUAAUCCCCGAUGUUGUUGUUUCACCGCAUGGUGUUGCAACCAAAGAAUUUCGGUAUGGGAUGGGGAUGCGUUCCAUUAGCUUGUUGGCGGGGCAACGGCCCACCAAGGCGACGAUGGAUAGGGGUUCUGAGAGGAAAGUCCCCCACACUGGAACUGAGACACGGUCCAGACUCCUACGGGAGGCAGCAGUGAGGAAUAUUGGUCAAUGGGCGAGAGCCUGAACCAGCCAAGUAGCGUGAAGGAUGACUGCCCUACGGGUUGUAAACUUCUUUUGUUUGGGAAUAAAGUUCAGCACGUGUGCUGUUUUGUAUGUACCAUUCGAAUAAGCAUCGGCUAAUUCCGUGCCAGCCGCCGCGGUAACAC
rnacentral:rRNA from 1 species